rnacentral:rRNA from 1 species
AGAAUCAACGCUGGCGGCGUGCCUAACACAUGCAAGUCGAACGAGAAAGUGGAGCAAUCCAUGAGUACAGUGGCGACCGGGUGAGUAACACGUGACUACCUACCCUUGAGUGGGGGAUAACCUCGGGAAACCGAGGCUAAUACCGCAUAAUAUCGAAAGAUCAAAGGAGUAAUCCGCUUUUGGAGGGGUCGCGGCUGAUUAGCUAGUUGGUAGGGUAAUGGCCUACCAAGGCGAAGAUCGGUA